rnacentral:rRNA from 1 species
UACAGAGGUCUCAAGCGUUGUUCGGAUUCAUUGGGCGUAAAGAGCUCGUAGGCGGUGUGUCGCGUCGGCCGUGAAAACCUGCAGCUUAACUGUGGGCUUGCGGUCGAUACGGGCAUCACUGGAGUUCGGCAGGGGAGACUGGAAUUCCUGGUGUAGCGGUGAAAUGCGCAGAUAUCAGGAGGAACACCGGUGGCGAAGGCGGAUCUCUGGGCCGAUACUGACGCUGAGGAGCGAAAGCGUGGGGAGCGAACAGG